UACAGAGGGGGCAAGCGUUGUUCGGAAUUACUGGGCGUAAAGGGCGCGUAGGCGGCCUUCUAAGUCGAACGUGAAAUCCCCGGGCUCAACCCGGGAACUGCGUCCGAUACUGGAAGGCUUGAAUCCGGGAGAGGGAUGUGGAAUUUCAGGUGUAGCGGUGAAAUGCGUAGAUAUCUGGAGGAACACCGGUGGCGAAGGCGACAUCCUGGACCGGUAUUGACGCUGAGGCGCGAAAGCCAGGGGAGCAAACGGG
rnacentral:rRNA from 1 species